rnacentral:rRNA from 1 species
GACGAACGCCGGCGGCGUGCUUAACACAUGCAAGUCGAACGGUAAGGCCCUUCGGGGUACACGAGUGGCGAACGGGUGAGUAACACGUGGGUGAUCUGCCCUGCACUUCGGGAUAAGCCUGGGAAACUGGGUCUAAUACCGGAUAGGACCCUGGGAUGCAUGUCCUGGGGUGGAAAGCUUUUGCGGUGUGGGAUGGGCCCGCGGCCUAUCAGCUUGUUGGUGGGGUGAUGGCCUACCAAGGGGACGACGGGUGGCCGGCCUGAGAGGGGGACGGGCCACACUGGGACUGAGAUACGGCCCAGACUCCUACGGGAGGCAGCAGUGGGGAAUAUUGCACAAUGGGCGCAAGCCUGAUGCAGCGACGCCGCGUGAGGGAUGACGGCCUUCGGGUUGUAAACCUCUUUCAGCACCGACGAAGCGCAAGUGACGGUAGGUGCAGAAGAAGGACCGGCCAACUACGUGCCAGCCGCCGCCGUAA